rnacentral:rRNA from 1 species
UACGGAGGGCGCAAGCGUUGUUCGGAAUCACUGGGCGUACAGCGCGUGUAGGCGGCUUGGCAAGUCGGGUGUGAAAGCCCGGGGCCUAACCCCGGAACUGCAUUCGAAACUGCCUCGCUCGAGUCCAGGAGAGGAUGGUGGAAUUCCCGGUGUAGUGGUGAAAUGCGUAGAUAUCGGGAGGAACACCAGCGGCGAAGGCGGCCAUCUGGACGGUGACUGACGCUGAGACGCGAAAGCGUGGGGAGCAAACAGG